rnacentral:rRNA from 1 species
UACGGGGGGGGCAAGCGUUGUUCGGAAUUACUGGGCGUAAAGGGCUCGUAGGCGGCCAACUAAGUCGGAUGUGAAAUCCCCAAGCUUAACUUGGGAACUGCAUCCGAUACUGGAUGGCUUGAAUCCGGGAGAGGGAUGCAGAAUUCCAGGUGUAGCGGUGAAAUGCGUAGAUAUCUGGAGGAAUACCGGUGGCGAAGGCGGCAUCCUGGACCGGCAUUGACGCUGUGGAGCGAAAGCUAGGGGAGCAAACAGG